rnacentral:rRNA from 1 species
UGCGUAGGCGGAAUUUUAAGUCAGUGGUGAAAUCCUGCAGCUCAACUGUAGAACUGCCAUUGAUACUGAUAUUCUUGAAUUUGGUUGAGGUGGGCGGAACGUGUAAUGUAGCGGUGAAAUGCUUAGAUAUUACACAGAACACCGAUUGCGAAGGCAGCUCACUAAACUAAUAUUGACGCUGAGGCACGAAAGCGUGGGUAGCGAACAGGAUUAGAUACCCUGGUAGUCC